AUGGCCGAGCAUGGGAAACUCCCUUCGGUCAUGGAGACGAGCUAUGAGGUGCCACAUCAUAUGGGCCUCCAACACCAAGACGGCGACAAGAAGGUCGAGCAAGGGCCAUCCCCUUCGACCACGACGAUAGGAGUUGAGCAUGGAGACAUUUGCACCUACAUCUCUCCGACACUCACAUAUGUCGAGAUGCCCCAUUUGUCAUGUGAGGAGAGCCACCACCACAUGAGUGACAUGAGUGACUCCACCAUAUGUGACAUUGAGAGCAUUUCCUAUGAGAGGAUGAGUGUGACCACCACUAGCCCCACACAUGAGAGCAUGCCACACAUCCUAUGUGAGGUUGAGCGCCAUUUGAGUGACUCCACCAACCAUAUGAGUGAGUGCAUCCUUGAGGGAGUAAGUGAGCCACAACACUUAGUGAGUGAGGUAGUUGACACGACACGUUAG
rnacentral:rRNA from 1 species